rnacentral:rRNA from 1 species
GACGAACGCUGGCGGCGUGCCUAAUACAUGCAAGUUGAGCGCUGAAGGUUGGUACUUGUACCAACUGGAUGAGCAGCGAACGGGUGAGUAACGCGUGGGGAAUCUGCCUUUGAGCGGGGGACAACAUUUGGAAACGAAUGCUAAUACCGCAUAAAAACUUUAAACACAAGUUUUAAGUUUGAAAGAUGCAAUUGCAUCACUCAAAGAUGAUCCCGCGUUGUAUUAGCUAGUUGGUGAGGUAAAGGCUCACCAAGGCGAUGAUACAUAGCCGACCUGAGAGGGUGAGCGCCCACGUUGGGACUGAGACACGGCCCAAACUCCUACGGGAGGCAGCAGUAGGGAAUCUUCGGCAAUGGAAGAAAUUCUGACCGAGCAACGCCGCGUGAGAGAAGAAGGUAGUCGUAUCGUAAAACUCGGUUGGUAGAGAAGAACGUUGGUGAGAGUGGAAAGCUCAUCAAGUGACGGUAACUACCCAGAAAGGUACGGCUAACUACGUG